ACUGCUCAGUAACACGUGGACAACCUGCCCUUAGGUUGGGUAUAAACCCGGGAAACUGGGUAUAAUACCCGAUAGGUCUCGAUUGCUGGAAUGCAUCGAGAUUUAAAGCUCUGGCGCCUAAGGAUGGGUCUGCGGCCUAUCAGGUAGUAGUGGGUGUAGCGUACCUACUAGCCUACGACGGGUACGGGUUGUGAGAGCAAGAGCCCGGAGAUGGAUUCUGAGACACGAAUCCAGGCCCUACGGGGUGCAGCAGGCGCGAAAACUUUACAAUGCUGGCAACAGCGAUAAGGGAACCUCGAGUGCCAGGUUACAAAUCUGGCUGUCGAGAUGCCUAAAAAGCAUUUCAUAGCAAGGGCCGGGCAAGACCGGUGCCAGCCGCCGCGGUAACACCGGCGGCUCGAGUGGUAACCGUUAUUAUUGGGUCUAAAGGGUCUGUAGCCGGCCGGAUAAGUCUCUUGAGAAAUCUGGCAGCUUAACUGUCAGGCUUUCAGGAGAUACUGUCUGGCUCGAGGCCGGGAGAGGUGAGAGGUACUUCAGGGGUAGGGGUGAAAUCUUGUAAUCCUUGAAGGACCACCAGUGGCGAAGGCGUCUCACCAGAACGGACCUGACGGCAAGGGACGAAAGCUAGGGGCACGAACCGGAUUAGAUACCCGGGUAGUCCUAGCCGUAAACGAUACUCGCUAGGUGUCGGCCACGGUGCGACCGUUGUCGGUGCCGUAGGGAAGCCGUGAAGCGAGCCACCUGGGAAGUACGGCCGCAAGGCUGAAACUUAAAGGAAUUGGCGGGGGAGCAC
rnacentral:rRNA from 1 species